UACGUAGGGUGCGAGCGUUGUCCGGAAUUAUUGGGCGUAAAGAGCUCGUAGGCGGUGUGUCACGUCGGCCGUGAAAACCUGCAGCUUAACUGUGGGCGUGCGGUCGAUACGGGCAUCACUGGAGUUCGGCAGGGGAGACUGGAAUUCCUGGUGUAGCGGUGAAAUGCGCAGAUAUCAGGAGGAACACCGGUGGCGAAGGCGGGUCUCUGGGCCGUGAUACUGACGCUGAGGAGCGAAAGCGUGGGUAGCAACAGG
rnacentral:rRNA from 1 species